rnacentral:rRNA from 1 species
UUCGCCCUUAGAGUUUGAUCCUGGCUCAGGACGAACGCUGGCGGCGUGCCUAACACAUGCAAGUCGAACGGAGUUGAAAAGAGCUUGCUUUUUUCAACUCAGUGGCGGACGGGUGAGUAACGCGUGGGUGACCUGCCCCAUACCGGGGGAUAACAGCUGGAAACGGCUGCUAAUACCGCAUAAGCGCACAGAGCUGCAUGGCUCGGUGUGAAAAACUCCGGUGGUAUGGGAUGGGCCCGCGUCUGAUUAGGCAGUUGGCGGGGUGACGGCCCACCAAGCCGACGAUCGGUAGCCGACCUGAGAGGGUGAUCGGCCACAUUGGGACUGAGACACGGCCCAAACUCCUACGGGAGGCAGCAGUGGGGAAUAUUGGGCAAUGGAGGAAACUCUGACCCAGCAACGCCGCGUGGAGGAAGAAGGUUUUCGGAUCGUAAACUCCUGUCCUUGGAGACGAGUAGAAGACGGUAUCCAAGGAGGAAGCCCCGGCUAACUACGUGCCAGCAGCCGCGGUAAUACGUAGGGGGCAAGCGUUGUCCGGAAUAAUUGGGCGUAAAGGGCGCGUAGGCGGCUCGGUAAGUCUGGAGUGAAAGUCCUGCUUUUAAGGUGGGAAUUGCUUUGGAUACUGUCGGGCUUGAGUGCAGGAGAGGUUAGUGGAAUUCCCAGUGUAGCGGUGAAAUGCGUAGAGAUUGGGAGGAACACCAGUGGCGAAGGCGACUAACUGGACUGUAACUGACGCUGAGGCGCGAAAGUGUGGGGAGCAAACAGGAUUAGAUACCCUGGUAGUCCACACUGUAAACGAUGAAUGCUAGGUGUAGGGGGUAUUAGACUCCUUCUGAGACACAGUUAACACAAUAAGCAUUCCGCCUGGGGAGUUCGCCAGCAAGGUUACAAAUCAAAGGAAAUGAAGGGGGCCCGCACAAGCAGCGGAGCAUGUGGUGUAAUUAGACGCUACGCGAAGAACCUUACCAGCUCUUGACAUCCACUCAUAACUUACAGAGAGUGUAAUGUGUGCUUGCAAAAAGUGAGACAGGUGGUGCAUGGUUGUAGUCAGCUCGUGUCGUGAGAUAGUGGGAUAAGUCCCGCAACGAGUGCAACCCUUAUUUUCAGUUACUAACGUGUAGAGGUGAGGACUGUGAAGAGACUGCCGGGGACAACUCGGAGGAAGGUGGGGAAGACGUCAAAUCAUCAUGCCCCUUAUGUCGUGGGCUACACACGUGCUACAAUGGCCACGACAGAGAGAAGCGAAAUCGCAAGGAAGAGCGGAACUCAAAAAAGUGGUCCCAGUUCGGAUUGUGGGCUGCAACCCGCCCACAUGAAGUCGGAGUUGCUAGUAAUCGCGGAUCAGCAUGCCGCGGUGAAUACGUUCCCGGGCCUUGCACACACCGCCCGUCA